GUUCGAUGCCUGGUACUUACAGA
rnacentral:miRNA from 1 species